rnacentral:rRNA from 1 species
CGUCCUAUUAGCUAGUUGGUGAGGUAAUGGCUCACCAAGGCUACGAUGGGUAGGGGUUCUUAGUGGAAGGUCCCCCACACUGGCACUGAGAUACGGGCCAGACUCCUACGGGAGGCAGCAGUAGGGAAUAUUGGUCAAUGAGCGCAAGCCUGAACCAGCCAUGCCGCGUGCAGGAUGAAGGCUCUCUGAGUUGUAAACUGCUUUUGUACAGGAGCAAAAAAAUCCCUGCGGGGGUUCUUGAGAGUACUGUAAGAAUAAGCACCGGCUAAUUCCGUGCCAGCAGCCGCGGUAAUACGGGAGGUGCAAGCGUUAUCCGGUUUUAUUGGGUUUAAAGGGUGCGUAGGCGGCUUAUUAAGUCAGUUGUGAAAUCCUAGUGCUUAACGCUAGAACUGCGAUUGAUACUAUU